AAUAAAUUAAUCUAAGGGCAGAUGGUGGAUGCCUAGACCAGGAGAGGCGAUGAAGGACGUACUAGGCUGCGAUAAGCCACGGGGAGCUGCCAAGAAGCUUUGAUCCGUGGAUUUCCGAAUGGGGCAACCCGGCAUGUAGUGAUGCAUGUCACUCUUAGGAGAGCGAACGUGGGGAAGUGAAACAUCUCAGUACCCACAGGAAAAGAAAUCAACCGAGAUUCCCUUAGUAGCGGCGA
rnacentral:rRNA from 1 species